rnacentral:tRNA from 1 species
AAAGGUGUAGCUCAGUUUGUAGAGUGCUUGCUUAGCAUGCAUGAGGUCCUGGGUUCAAUCCCCAGUACCUCCA